GAUGAAGAACGCAGCGAAAUGCGAUAAGUAAUGUGAAUUGCAGAAUUCAGUGAAUCAUCGAAUCUUUGAACGCACCUUGCGCUCCUUGGUAUUCCGAGGAGCAUGCCUGUUUGAGUGUCAUGAAAUUCUCAACCUUUUCAGCUUUCUUUGUUGAUCAGGCCUGGAUGUGGGAGUAUGCGGGCUUCUCAGAAGUCGGCUCUCCUGAAAUGCAUUAGCGGGACCUUUGUUGCCUGGCUUUGGUGUGAUAAUUAUCUACGCCAUUGUAGUCAAGCAGCUUAAAAUGAGGUUUCAGCUUCUAACCGUCUCCCCUGAGACAACUUUUUGACAAUUUGACCUCAAAUCGGGUAGGACUACCCGCUGAACUUAAGCAUAUCAAUAAGCGGAGGA
rnacentral:misc_RNA from 1 species